rnacentral:lncRNA from 1 species
UCGGCAUUCCGCCCCAGGUCCUCCCCACCCAGCUGGGGCAGGGCGUAGCCUGAAGGGCAGGAGCUCAGCCAUCACCAGGAGGAGCAGAGCUGAUGAUCCAGCCUCACACCGAGCCUGGGGAACAAAGUGUUUGAGCUGGGGAAGAAAAUGUUUGAGCCGGGGAACAAAGUGUUUGAGCUGGCUGCUGCCUGAGAAAGAAGAGCAUUAACCCUGGUUUCCCUCCAACCUCCAGCACUUGCACUUCAGCCAUCAUUGAUCCUCCAUCCCAGGGAAAUUCCGUGCAGUGCAAUUUGGGGAGGCUGUUGGGGGAAAUGGGGAGCAGAGCAUCCCAGGAGCUGCGGCAUGGACGAGGCUUCUCCCUCCACCAGGAUCCUGAGCUGUGUCCCUGUGCUGAUCCCUGGCUUUGAGUCUGGCUGCCUUUGCUGGGUGUCCUGCGGACAGGAGGGACACAGAAGCCAGCGAUGGCUUUGCCAUGAAAAUGUUGCAGGCUUGGAGGCUGGGCUGAUGUGGGGAAGGCUCCAGAGACUUCUAUACUGCAAACUCCUGGCUAGAAGGCUGUGGAUGAAAUUCUGCCACACCUGGGACUUUUUCAGACAUCAGCCCGUGCUGCAGGAUUUGGGCUCCUCUGUCCGCUCACGGAGCAGGUGUAGGAGGGCAGCGUGAACAAGCAGCACAUUUCAGAAUAAAAGAGAAUAAAGAGCUCA